GAAAAAAAGAAAGACAUGGAAAUGGUUCAUUAUUGACUGUACUGAAAGAAUUUCCAUUACAAGGACUGAGUUGGAAAGGAGUACAGAGCCAGAGAUUAUCAUGCUUGAGGGCUUGGCCUUGUAUUACUUGAAGCACAUGUUAUGUACAUGUUUAUAACUGCCUGCUACAGAGGUGGGGAAACCAGGAGGAUUGGAUGUCCAUCAGAGUUCAUGUAGGCCUGGCAAUGGGAGGAGAGAAACAAAACAAAGCAUAAAGUGGGAGUUUUACUGACUCAUCCACAGCUGAAUGAAGACAAAGAAGGAAAGUAAAAUAAUUGUCUUUAAAAGG